rnacentral:rRNA from 1 species
GUGGGGAAUAUUGGACAAUGGGGGGAACCCUGAUCCAGCCAUGCCGCGUGUGUGAAGAAGGCCUUUUGGUUGUAAAGCACUUUAAGCGAGGAGGAGGCUACCGAGAUUAAUACUCUUGGAUAGUGGACGUUACUCGCAGAAUAAGCACCGGCUAACUCUGUGCCAGCAGCCGCGGUAAUACAGAGGGUGCGAGCGUUAAUCGGAUUUACUGGGCGUAAAGCGUGCGUAGGCGGCGUUUUAAGUCGGAUGUGAAAUCCCCGAGCUUAACUUGGGAAUUGCAUUCGAUACUGGGAAGCUAGAGUAUGGGAGAGGAUGGUAGAAUUCCAGGUGUAGCGGUGAAAUGCGUAGAGAUCUGGAGGAAUACCGAUGGCGAAGGCAGCCAUCUGGCCUAAUACUGACGCUGAGGUACGAAAGCAUGGGGAGCAAACAGGAUUAGAUACCCUUGUAGUCC